rnacentral:rRNA from 1 species
AUUGAACGCUGGCGGCAUGCCUUACACAUGCAAGUCGAACGGUAACGCGGGGCAACCUGGCGACGAGUGGCGAACGGGUGAGUAAUGUAUCGGAACGUGCCCAGUAGUGGGGGAUAGCCCGGCGAAAGCCGGAUUAAUACCGCAUACGACCUGAGGGUGAAAGCGGGGGAUCGCAAGACCUCGCGCUAUUGGAGCGGCCGAUAUCAGAUUAGCUAGUUGGGGGGUAAAGGCCUACCAAGGCGACGAUCUGUAGCUGGGCUGAGAGGACGACCAGCCACACUGGGACUGAGACACGGCCCAGACUACUACGGGAGGCAGCAGUGGGGAAUUUUGGACAAUGGGCGAAAGCCUGAUCCAGCCAUGCCGCGUGCGGGAAGAAGGCCUUCGGGUUGUAAACCGCUUUCGCAAGGGAAGAAAACUUAUCCUCUAACAUAGGGUGAGGUUGACGGUACCUUGAUAAGAAGCACCGGCUUACUACGUGCCAGCAGCCGCCGUAAGAC